rnacentral:rRNA from 1 species
GACGAACGCUGGCGGCGUGCUUAACACAUGCAAGUCGAACGGAAAGGCCCUGCUUUUGUGGGGUUCUCGAGUGGCGAACGGGGGAGUAACACGUGAGUAACCUGCCCUUGACUUUGGGAUAACUUCAGGAAACUGGGGCUAAUACCGGAUAGGAGCUCCUGCUGCAUGGUGGGGGUUGGUAAGAUUCGGCGGUUGGGGAUGGACUCGCUGCUUACCAGCUUGUUGGUGGGGUAGUGGCUUACCAAGGCUUUGAAGGGUAGGCGGCCUGAGAGGGCGACCGGCCACAUUGGGACUGAGAUACGGCCCAGAAUCCUACGGGAGGCAGCAGUGGGGAAUAUUGCACAAUGGGCGGAAGUCUGAUGCAGCAACGCCGCGUGCGUGAUGACGGCCUUCGGGUUGUAAACCGCUUUCGCCUGUGACGAAGCGUGAGUGACGGUAAUGGGUAAAGAAGCACCGGCUAACUACGUG